rnacentral:rRNA from 1 species
AUGAACGCUGGCGGCGUGCCUAACACAUGCAAGUCGAACGGAGCUGCUUUGAUGAAGUUUUCGGAUGGAUUUAAAGCAGCUUAGUGGCGGACGGGUGAGUAACGCGUGGGUAACCUGCCUCACACUGGGGGAUAACAGUUAGAAAUAGCUGCUAAUACCGCAUAAGCGCACAGUUCCGCAUGGAACAGUGUGAAAAACUCCGGUGGUGUGAGAUGGACCCGCGUCUGAUUAGCCAGUUGGCGGGGUAACGGCCCACCAAAGCGACGAUCAGUAGCCGGCCUGAGAGGGUGAACGGCCACAUUGGGACUGAGACACGGCCCAAACUCCUACGGGAGGCAGCAGUGGGGAAUAUUGCACAAUGGGGGAAACCCUGAUGCAGCGACGCCGCGUGAGUGAAGAAGUAUUUCGGUAUGUAAAGCUCUAUCAGCAGGGAAGAAAGUGACGGUACCUGAAUAAGAAGCCCCGGCUAACUACGUGCCAGCAGCCGCGGUAAUACGUAGGGGGCAAGCGUUAUCCGGAUUUACUGGGUGUAAAGGGAGCGUAGACGGCAAGGCAAGUCUGAAGUGAAAGCCCGGUGCUUAACGCCGGGACUGCUUUGGAAACUGUUUAGCUGGAGUGCCGGAGAGGUAAGCGGAAUUCCUAGUGUAGCGGUGAAAUGCGUAGAUAUUAGGAAGAACACCAGUGGCGAAGGCGGCUUACUGGACGGUAACUGACGUUGAGGCUCGAAAGCGUGGGGAGCAAACAGGAUUAGAUACCCUGGUAGUCCACGCCGUAAACGAUGAUUGCUAGGUGUAGGUGGGUAUGGACCCAUCGGUGCCGCAGCUAACGCAAUAAGCAAUCCACCUGGGGAGUACGUUCGCAAGAAUGAAACUCAAAGGAAUUGACGGGGGCCCGCACAAGCGGAGGAACAUGUGGUUUAAUUCGAUGAUACGCGAGGAACCUUACCCGGGCUUGAAAGUUACUGACGAUUCUGGAAACAGGAUUUCCCUUUGGGGCAGGAAACUAGGUGCUGCAUGGUUGUCGUCAGCUCGUGUCGUGAGAUGUUGGGUUAAGUCCCGCAACGAGCGCAACCCUUAUUCUUAGUAGCCAGCAGGGAAGGCUGGGCACUCUAAGGAGACUGCCGGGGAUAACCCGGAGGAAGGUGGGGAUGACGUCAAAUCAUCAUGCCCCUUAUGAUCUGGGCUACACACGUGCUACAAUGGCGUAACAAAGGGAAGCGAGCCUGCGAGGGUGAGCAAAUCCCAAAAAUAACGUCCCAGUUCGGACUGUAGUCUGCAACCCGACUACACGAAGCUGGAAUCGCUAGUAAUCGCGAAUCAGAAUGUCGCGGUGAAUACGUUCCCGGGUCUUGUACACACCGCCCGUCACACCAUGGGAGUCGGAAAUGCCCGAAGUCUGUGACUCAACCGCAAGGAGAGAGCAGCCGAAGGCAGGUCUGAUAACUGGGGUG